AGAGUUUGAUCCUGGCUCAGGAUGAACGCUGGCGGCGUGCCUAACACAUGCAAGUCGAACGAAGCGCUUAAGCUUGCUUGAGUGACUUAGUGGCGGGACGGGUGAGUAAUGCGUGAGCAACCUGCCUCAGAGAGGGGGACAACAGUUGGAAACGACUGCUAAUACCGCAUGAUGUAUCGAGAGGGCAUCCUUUUGAUACCAAAGAUUUAUCGCUUUGAGAUGGGCUCACGUCUGAUUAGCUAGUUGGUGAGGUAACGGCUCACCAAGGCUGCGAUCAGUAGCCGGACUGAGAGGUUGAACGGCCACAUUGGGACUGAGAUACGGCCCAGACUCCUACGGGAGGCAGCCAGUGGGGAAUAUUGGGCAAUGGGCGAAAGCCUGACCCAGCAACGCCGCGUGAAGGAAGAAGGUCUUCGGAUUGUAAACUUCUUUUAUGAGGGACGAAGAAAGUGACGGACCUUCAUGAAUAAGCCCCGGCUAACUACGUGCCAGCCAGCCGCGGU
rnacentral:rRNA from 1 species